rnacentral:rRNA from 1 species
UUUCUAAAAUUUAUAUAGAAUUUUAUUUUUUAGUCAAAAAGCUAAAAUAUAUUUAAAAGACGAGAAGACCCCAAUAAUCUUUAUAUUUAGGUUAUUAUAAUUUUAUAGAUUUUUUUUGUUAUAAUAAUUGAUAAUAUUUUAUUGGGGUGAUAUUAAAAUUUGAUAAACUUUUAAUUGUUUAAAUCAUUAAUUUAUGAAUAAUUGAUCCGUUAUUAGCGAUUAAAAAAAUAAGUUACCUUAGGGAUAACAG